UACGGGGGGUGCGAGCGUUGUCCGGAAUCACUGGGCGUAAAGGGCGCGUAGGUGGUUUGAUAAGGGUGUGGUGAAAGUCCGGAGCUCAACUCCGGAUCUGCCGUGCCGACUGUCAAACUCGAGGGCUGUAGAGGCAGACGGAAUUCCGGGUGUAGCGGUGGAAUGCGUAGAGAUCCGGAGGAAGACCGGUGGCGAAGGCAGGUCACUGGGCCGCAACUGACGCUGAGGAGCGAAAGCAUGGGGAGCGAACAGG
rnacentral:rRNA from 1 species